GCACAGGUGGUUCAAUGGUAGAAUCUGGCCCUUCCAAGGCUAAGACCCGGGUUCGAUUCCCGGUCUGUGCA
rfam:Spraguea lophii 42_110 Contig_1203, whole genome shotgun sequence.